GGCCCCGUAGUUUAAUGGAUAAAAUUAGCGUUUCCUAAACGUUCGAUAUGGGUUCGAUUCCCGUCGGGGCUACCA
rnacentral:tRNA from 1 species